CUCUAAUAUUAAAUUAGAUUAUAUAUUUUAAGGAAUAUAUACAAUAUUUGUAUUAGAUAUUAAAGGAAGUUUAUUCCUUCUUAAAAGGAAAGG
rnacentral:ncRNA from 1 species